AUUUUUGGGCAAGGCGAUGUCCUUUGUGCAAGUUGGGGUUCUGGCAGAGUCAUCUGUGAUAGCUGCCAUCAGCAGUGGUGCAUGAGAAGUUUCCUUCAUAACCUUCUGGCUCCCUUCUGUGUUCGGGAGUGCCUUUUGGAAUGAUCCCAUUAAGAAGACAUGCAAUGAAAGCAGUAGGGACUUGGGACAGAGAAUUGGGGCAUCCAUUAGAAAACUGCUUCUAGCCUGAACUUGUUGGUUUAAAUAAAAUUGAGUCACUGUUUUUAGUCUUCUAUG